UUCUGAAAACCAAGCUUGUAUCCCCUAGAAGACUAGUAAGUGCUUAAAUGGCUGGGCUCUCUAACUCAAGGAAACAGAUUCUAAAAAGAAGACAGUGUCUUUUCCCCCCAGCAGAAUGAGACCAGGCGUAGUGGCUCACAUCCGUAAUUCCUCAGCUCAGGAAAGAGACAGAGGAUGAAACGUUCCAAGCCAACCCAGCAUAGAUAGAGAGAGUCCCUGUCUCAACAAAUUGAAGUAAAAGCAAAACAACACCCAAAAGGUGGCUGUUUUGGGAAGCACAGUGAGCCCCACUUUCUGAAUCAACUAUUCAAAGGAUACACAAGGCAGACACGGGGAAGCAAAGGGGACAUUUUUGUUCACAGGCCAGUGGUAGCAUCAGCUGCCUCAGACAUUUCGAAAAACAAACCAUAAUCUAAAUUCCUCUUCUAGAGUCACAGCCCUGCGUGUGAGUGUCCAGUAAAAGAAUAAGAAAUCUGGAAACAACCAAAACAUCCUAAGACUGGACGGCAAAUAGUGAGGUCACUGUGGGGUGAUCACUGUGGGGUGAUAGCAGCAGCAACACACAUUGCAUUAAUCUCAGAAGACGCUGUUCCCAAAGGGCAAGCAUAUCCAGUGUGGUUACUUAUAUAAAGUUCUACAGCACGCCAAAGCUAAAACAGCCUGCUACUUAUGUUAAUAUAAAUUAACAUGAAUGCAAAACUAUCAGAGAGGAAUACUACACACACAGACACACACAUGCACACACACACACAUACACAUACACACAUACACACACAUACACACAUACACAUACACACACGCACAGACACACACAUACACACGCACAGACACACACACACACACACACACACACACACACACACACACUCCAGAUCCAAGCAAAUGAUUAGCUAUAGGUAAUCUUGGGGACAAGCAUAUGGAGACUUUACUCCAGGUAGGAAAGGAAACUUUUUCAAUAGCUUACAGUACUGAGAGCAUAGGGUUUUGUUAUAUUCUUAUUCCUUAUGGGUUACAAAGCCCAGCCAUAUCCUUUGUACUCGUGGAAAUUUCAAUGACAAUAAUUAAAAGAAAGAACACAGAUCAUCAAGGUGGGAUGAGGCCUGCUGCAGCCUACCUUGAUGAGGCCUGCUGCAGCCUACCUUUAUAAACUCCGCUGCAUCACUGUCUAGAAUCCGCAGAGCCCAGAAGCCACAGGGCCAGGCUGGCUGAACUCUGACCACUUCAGUCUGGUGUCAGGUAGACUCUGUGAGCUCCACCUUUGAAAGAAAGAGAGGUGGAGUGGGGAGACAGCGGCAGGAUGUCUAGAUGCUUCUUCUUGGAGAUUUCAGAGGUGAGACUAAGGAGAAGGACCCUGGCUCCCUACCUAGAGGCCUUGUCCUGAGCCAGGCUCAGCCAAGCCUCCUGCUUAGAUCAGAAAGGGUACUCAUAGCCCCAUACCAACAAGGAGACUGCUGGCGUUAAACCAAAUGGAGCACUCACCUCUCAGGCAGUGAACCUCCAACCUCAGCUCAAGUGUACAGACCUUCCACCCAUCCCACCCAACAGACGCCCCUGCCAAGGUCUUGGUGCAUCUUUCCUCUCCCAGAAAGCCCAGAUCUUUUCCUGGGAGUGUCUUGCCUACUUCCAAGUCUCCACUUUAAUGUCGAUUUCUGGGAGGCCUUUCCUGGCCCCUCUCUUCACUCAGGGCCCUAUGUCACUCUGCCUUCUGCCCUGUCACAGCUUUGAGCGCCCACAUUACUAAGUCAUUCUGUUUACGUCUUCCCGGUAAGCUCCUGGCUGCUCACCAGAGAAUCACAUUCUAAGCAUCUUCACCUAGAGAGCACCUCAAAGCUCUAGUCAGGCCCAGGGCAAGUUCUGAUUAACUUAAGGGAAUGAAUUUGCAGCUGGUAAAAAAGGCCAGUGGAAUAGAUUCCACUCGUGUUCCAGCUCAGAGCCCCUGCCCACCUCUUCUAUGCCCCAUCGGGCUAAACUUAGCUCUCUCCACCUUCAGACCUGUAUCCAGACAUCCAAGAAGAGAGGAAGUAAGGCCUUUCCAGACCACCCUGUUGCUGACAGAUCAUGGCUCUCCUCACUGCUCAUACACAUCUGGAAGUCUCCCUUUCUAGAGUAGCUUAUAUCCAGGACAGCAGUAACUCAGGAUGCUCAAGGGUUCUCUGGAAAACUGGAAUAGAGCCUAUCGACAUAGUCCUUACUGUCCUGGAACUCACAGAAAUCCAGCUGCCUCAGCUUUCCGAGUGCUGAGAUAAAAGGUGUGUACCACGACAUCACCCAAGGAUACUACAAAAUUUUUAAAUGCAUUCACUAAAGGGUAAAUAUAAGUAAGCUAGCCUCAGAGAGAGAAGAGGAAGAAAUAAAAAGUCUUUUGUCCAUAGAAA